rnacentral:rRNA from 1 species
CCUACGGGAGGCAGCAGUCGAGAAUCAUUCACAAUGGGGGAAACCCUGAUGGUGCGACGCCGCGUGGGGGAAUGCAGGUCUUCGGAUUGUAAACCCCUGUCAUGUGGGAGCAAAUUAAAAAGAUAGUACCACAAGAGGAAGAGACGGCUAAAUCUGUGCCAGCAGCCGCGGUACGACAGGGGACUCAAGCGGUGUUCGGAAUCACGGGGCGUAAAGGGGGCGUAGGCUGUUUCGUAAGACGUGUGUGAAAGGGGCGGGCUCAACCCGCGGACGGCACAUGAUACUGCGAGACUAGAGUAAUGGAGGGGGAACCGGAAUUCGCGGUGUAGCAGUGAAAUGCGUAGAUAUCGAGAGGAACACUCGUGGCGAAGGCGGGUUCCUGGACAUUAACUGACGCUGAGGCGCGAAGGCCAGGGGAGCGAAAGGGAUUAGAUACCCCUGUAGUC